GACGAACGCUGGCGGCGUGGAUUAGGCAUGCAAGUCGAACGGUAUCAUCCUUUCGGGGGUGAGAGAGUGGCGAACUGGUGAGUAACACGUAGGUUAUCUACCCUCAAGACGGGGACAACCCAGGGAAACUUGGGCUAAUACCGGAUGUGAGCAACUUUUAGUUGUUUGAAAGGUGGCGUAAGCUGUCGCUUGGGGAUGAGCCUGCGUCCUAUUAGUUAGUUGGUGAGGUAACGGCUCACCUAGGCAAUGAUAGGUAGGCGGCCUUAACGGGUGGUCGCCCACACUGGGAUUGAGAUACGGCCCAGACUCCUACGGGAGGCAGCAGUCGAGAAUAGUCUACAAUGGUCGGAAGACCGAUAGUGCGACGCCGCGUGAACGAUGAAUCCCUUCGGGGUGUAAAGUUCUUUUAUAUGUGAGCAGUGCUUCUUAUAUUAACAGUAUGGGGAGAGAGAUAUUAGCAUAUGAAUAAGCAACGGCUAACUCCGUGCCAGCAGCCGCGGUAAUCUCGU
rnacentral:rRNA from 1 species